UCGAUGCAACGCGAAGAACCUUACCUGGUCUUGACAUCCACAGAACUUAGCAGAGAUGGUUUGGUGCCUUCGGGAACUGUGAGACAGGUGCUGCAUGGCUGUCGUCAGCUCGUGUUGUGAAAUGUUGGGUUAAGUCCCGCAACGAGCGCAACCCUUAUCCUUUGUUGCCAGCGGUUAGGCCGGGAACUCAAAGGAGACUGCCAGUGAUAAACUGGAGGAAGGUGGGGAUGACGUCAAGUCAUCAUGGCCCUUACGACCAGGGCUACACACGUGCUACAAUGGCAUAUACAAAGAGAAGCGACCUCGCGAGAGCAAGCGGACCUCAUAAAGUAUGUCGUAGUCCGGAUUGGAGUCUGCAACUCGACUCCAUGAAGUCGGAAUCGCUAGUAAUCGUAGAUCAGAAUGCUACGGUGAAUACGUUCCCGGGCCUUGUACACACCGCCCGUCACACCAUGGGAGUGGGUUGCAAAAGAAGUAGGUAGCUUAACCUUCGGGAGGGC
rnacentral:rRNA from 1 species